GACGAACGCUGGCGGCGUGCUUAACACAUGCAAGUCGAACGGAAAGGCCCUGCUUUUGUGGGGUGCUCGAGUGGCGAACGGGUGAGUAACACGUGAGUAACCUGCCCUUGACUUUGGGAUAACUUCAGGAAACUGGGGCUAAUACCGGAUAGGAGCUCCUGCUGCAUGGUGGGGGUUGGAAAGUUUCGGCGGUUGGGGAUGGACUCGCGGCUUAUCAGCUUGUUGGUGGGGUAGUGGAUUACCAAGGCUUUGACGGGUAGCCGGCCUGGGAGGGUGACCGGCCACAUUGGGACUGAGAUACGACCCAGACUCCUACGGGAGGCAGCAGUGGGGAAUAUUGCACAAUGGGCGGAAGCCUGAUGCAGCAACGCCGCGUGCGGGAUGACGGCCUUCGGGUUGUAAACCGCUUUCGCCUGUGACGAAGCGUGAGUGACGGUAAUGGGUAAAGAAGCACCGGCUAACUACGUG
rnacentral:rRNA from 1 species